rnacentral:pre_miRNA from 1 species
AGUAGUAUAGCUGGGUCAAAAUGUGGUUCUAGUCCCAGUUUUCCAAGGAAUAUCCAUACUGCUUUCCAGAUUGGCUGCCACAUUUUUCAGUCCCACCAGCAAU